AUUGAACGCUGGCGGCAUGCCUUACACAUGCAAGUCGAACGGUAACAGCUCUUCGGAGGCUGACGAGUGGCGAACGGGUGAGUAAUACAUCGGAACGUGCCCGAUCGUGGGGGAUAACGGAGCGAAAGCUUUGCUAAUACCGCAUACGAUCUACGGAUGAAAGCAGGGGACCCUCGGGCCUUGCGCGAACGGAGCGGCCGAUGGCAGAUUAGGUAGUUGGUGGGAUAUAAGCUUACCAAGCCGGCGAUCUGUAGCUGGUCUGAGAGGACGACCGGCCAGACUGGGACUGAGACACAGCCCAGACUCCUACGGGAGGCAGCAGUGGGGAAUUUUGGACAAUGUGCGAAAGCCUGAUCCAGCAAUGCCGCGUGCAGGAUGAAGGCCUUCGGGUUGUAAACUGCUUUUGUACGGAACGAAAAGUCUCGGGCUAAUACCCUGGGACCAUGACGGUACCGUAAGAAUAAGCACCGGCUAACUACGUGCCAGCCGCCGCCGUAA
rnacentral:rRNA from 1 species